CCUACGGGAGACAGCAGUGGGGAAUAUUGGUCAAUGGACGAAACUCUGAACCAGCAACGUCGCGUGAAUGAUGAAGGUCCUCGGAUUGUAAAGCUCUUUUCUAAGGGAAGAAGAAAGUGACGGUACCUUAGGAAUAAGCCUCGGCUAACUACGUGCCAGCAGCCGCGGUAAUACGUAGGAGGCGAGCGUUAACCGGAAUGACUGGGCGUAAAGGGUGGGUAGGUGGUUUGACAAGUUCGUAGCGUAACUCCGGGGCCCAACCUCGGCACUGCUACCAAAACUGUCGGACUUGAGUGCAGGAGAAGCAGUUGGAAUGCCUAGUGUAGCGGUGGAAUGCGCAGAUAUUAGGAAGAACACCGGUGGCGAAGGCGAAUUGCUGGACUGUAACUGACGCUGAGGCACGAAAGCGUGGGGAGCAAACAGGAUUAGAUACCCGGGUAGUC
rnacentral:rRNA from 1 species